ACAUGGCUCCAGAAUAUGCAAUGCAUGGUUAUUUUAAGGCCAAAGCGGAUGUUUAUAGUUUUGGGUUGUUGCCUUGGAAAUAGUUAGUGGGAAGCACAACACCAUGAACCAGCCAAAGGAUGAAUGUUUCUCUCUUGUUGAUUGGAUUGUUGAGACUCUUAUAUCAUCAUUAUAGAGGAGUUGCUCAUGGAGUUAGCCAAUCAGAAAUAUUGGAUCAGAUACUUGUAGCCCUAGUCAAGGUCUGAUGCAGGCAGAACCUACGAUUGCUUCAGGUCUGAGGCAGGCAGAACCUACGAUUGCUUCAGGUCUGAUACGGGUUGCUGCUUUGCAUGCUACCGCGCCUGAGCCUGGUGUGGUACAGACAUAUUCGGCUGCUGUUAAUUCGAAAAGUACGACUCUGGGGCGAUUCAAAUGUAAUAUCGAUGCAUAAUUUGCUUCGUAUUUAAAUAGAGUUGGGAUUGGAAUAUGCAUCUGUGACGAACUUCGUCAAUAUACUUUCAAAGACAGAAUGGAUUGCCCUUCUUUGUAGAGUGGUUGUUGGUAAACUUUUUGGUAAGUAUAUGACCUUCAAUGUCCCUAAAUUUAGUUUAUGUCCCUUGUUGUCCCUAAAAUUGAUGGUCUAAAUACAAUUUCAAUGUGAUUGCUGAUUCGUAACUUCAAAUGUAAGUGUGGAAGACCCUUCUUUUUCAAAAAAGUGUAGAAGACCCUUGGAGCCUUAGAUGCAAAAUUGAAUAUAUGUCCCUCGAUGUCCGUAAAUUGAAUAUAUGUUCCUCGAUAUCCCUAAAUUGAAUAUAUGUUCCUCGAUGUCCCUAUUUCCAUAGAAGGGUCUCAAUGGAUUCCAGGAUAUUAUAAGGCAAUUGAAGCUAUUGGAAAUCCUUCAACUUUUUAUAUUUCGGUUUUGGUUA